GACGAACGCUGGCGGCGUGCUUAACACAUGCAAGUCGAACGGAAAGGCCCUGCUUUUGUGGGGUGCUCGAGUGGCGAACGGGUGAGUAACACGUGAGUAACCUGCCCUUGACUUUGGGAUAAAUUCAGGAAACUGGGGCUCAUAUCGGAUAGGAGCUCCUGCUGCAUGGUGGGGGUUGGAAAGUUUCGGCGGUUGGGGAUGGGCUCGAGGCUUAUCAGCUUGUUGGUGGGGUAGUGGCUUACCAAGGCUUUGACGGGUAGCCGGCCUGGGAGGGUGACCGGCCACAUUGGGACUGAGAGACGGCCCAGACUCCUACGGGAGGCAGCAGGGGGGAAUAUUGCACAAUGGGCGGAAGCCUGAUGCAGCAACGCCGCGUGCGGGAUGACGGCCUUCGGGUUGUAAACCGCUUUCGCCUGUGACGAAGCGUGAGUGACGGUAAUGGGUAAAGAAGCACCGGCUAACUACGUG
rnacentral:rRNA from 1 species